rnacentral:rRNA from 1 species
GACGAACGCUGGCGGCGUGCCUAAUACAUGCAAGUAGAACGCACAGUUUAUACCGUAGCUUGCUACACAAUAGACUGUGAGGUGCGAACGGGUGAGUAACGCGUAGGUAACCUGCCUGGUAGCGGGGGAUAACGAUUGGAAACGAUAGCUAAUACCGCAUAAUAUUGAUUAUUGCAUGAAAAUUCAUUGAAAGAUGCUAUUGCAGCACCACCAGAUGGACCUGCGUUGUAUUAGCUAGUAGGUGAGGUAACGGCUCACCUAGGCGACGAUACAUAGCCGACCUCGUACGGUGCUCGACCACCCUCCGACUGAGACACGGCCCAGACUCCUGCGAGAGGCAGCAGUAGCGAAUCUUCGGCAAUCGACGCGCUCCAGACCAAACAACGCCGCGUGAGUGUAGAAAGGUUUCGGAUCGCAAAGCUCAGUUGUGAGUGAAGAACGGGUAUGAAUGUAAAAAGUUCACACUGUGACGGUAACUCACGAGAAAGAGUCGGCUAACUACGUG